ACUUCAUGUCAGAGAAAAUUUGGCUUUCCACCAAGUGUAGACUAACAAUGGUAAUUGCGUUAGGGAAGAAAGUCAGUUGCGGAGAAUUUUCUAGAAAAGGAAGUGAAGACCAAGAGUGCCCCCACAACAGCCCUAUGUACAAGCACCAGUACAGAAGAGUACUAAAAAAGAGAAAGACAAAGGGGAAGAUGGAGAUCCUAAUAGAUUGGUUGCCUUGCAAAAUGUGCGGGAAAACCUGGCAGCCAACCUGGGAGCCUGCAAGAUAAAGAUCCACCCACACACACACACACACACACACACUCACUCACUCACUCACUCACUCACUCAACAGUCAACAAAUGUUUUAGCUGAGUGUUGUUCUUUUGUAUUUUUUUUUAUAUAAUAUAAGUUAAUAAAGA